GACGAACGCUGGCGGCGUGCCUAAUACAUGCAAGUUGAGCGCUGAAGGUUGGUACUUGUACCAACUGGAUGAGCAGCGAACGGGUGAGUAACGCGUGUGGAAUCUGCCUUUGAGCGGGGGACAACAUUUGGAAACGAAUGCUAAUACCGCAUAAAAACUUUAAACACAAGUUUUAAGUUUGAAAGAUGCAAUUGCAUCACUCAAAGAUGAUCCCGCGUUGUAUUAGCUAGUUGGUGAGGUAAAGGCUCACCAAGGCGAUGAUACAUAGCCGACCUGAGAGGGUGAUCGGCCACAUUGGGACUGAGACACGGCACAAACUCCUACGGGAGGCAGCAGUAGGGAAUCUUCGGCAAUGGACGAAAGUCUGACCGAGCAACGCCGAGUGAGUGAAGAAGGUUUUCGGAUCGUAAAACUCUGUUGGUAGAGAAGAACGUUGGUGAGAGUGGAAAGCUCAUCAAGUGACGGUAACUACCCAGAAAGGGACGGCUAACUACGUG
rnacentral:rRNA from 1 species